rnacentral:misc_RNA from 1 species
UCCGAUUUGACAUCGGCAGUCCCCCUAGAGUCCCCGGCAUAACCCGCUGGCAACGUAGGACAAGGGUUGCGCUCGUUGCGCCACUUAAGGCAACACCUCACGGCACGAGCUGACGACAGCCAUGCACCACCUGUGCAGGCUCCGUAGAGCGCCGGCUUUCACCGGCUUUACCCUGCAUGUCAAGCCCAGGUAAGGUUCUUCGCGUCGCAUCGAAUUAAACCACAUGCUCCACCGCUUGUGCAGGCCCCCGUCAAUUUCUUUGAGUUUUAACCUUGCGGCCGUACUCCCCAGGCGGAUGACUUAAUGCGUUAGCUGCGCCACCGAAAGCCUAAGGCCCCCGACAGCUAGUCAUCAUCGUUUACGGCGUGGACUAC